rnacentral:rRNA from 1 species
GAUGAACGCUGGCGGCGCGCCUAACACAUGCAAGUCGAACGAUUAAAGCACCUUCGGGUGUGUAUAAAGUGGCGAACGGCUGAGUAACACGUGGGCAACCUGCCCCUUUCAUUGGGAUAGCCACGGGAAACCGUGGAUAAUACCGAAUACUUCGAGACUUCCGCAUGGAAGACUCGAGAAAGCUCCGGCGGAGAGGGAUGGGCCCGCGGCCUGUUAGCUUGUUGGUGGGGUAACGGCCUACCAAGGCAAUGAUGGGUAGCUGGGUUGAGAGACCGACCAGCCAGAUUGGGACUGAGACACGGCCCAGACUCCUACGGGAGGCAGCAGUGGGGAAUCUUGCACAAUGGGCGAAAGCCUGAUGCAGCGACGCGGCGUGCGGGAUGAAGGCCUUCGGGUUGUAAACCGCUUUCAGCAGGGACGAGGCGAAAGUGACGGUACCUGCAGAAGAAGCCCCGGCUAACUACGUG